rnacentral:rRNA from 1 species
AGAGUUUGAUCCUGGCUCAGAUUGAACGCUGGCGGCAGGCUUAACACAUGCAAGUCGAGCGGUAGCACAAGGGAGCUUGCUCCCUGGGUGACGAGCGGCGGACGGGUGAGUAAUGUCUGGGAAACUGCCUGAUGGAGGGGGAUAACUACUGGAAACGGUAGCUAAUACCGCAUAACGUCGCAAGACCAAAGAGGGGGACCUUCGGGCCUCUUGCCAUCAGAUGUGCCCAGAUGGGAUUAGCUAGUAGGUGGGGUAAUGGCUCACCUAGGCGACGAUCCCUAGCUGGUCUGAGAGGAUGACCAGCCACACUGGAACUGAGACACGGUCCAGACUCCUACAGGAGGCAGCAGUGGGGAAUAUUGCACAAUGGGCGCAAGCCUGAUGCAGCCAUGCCGCGUGUGUGAAGAAGG